AACGAACGCUGGCGGCAUGCCUAACACAUGCAAGUCGAACGAGACCUUCGGGUCUAGUGGCGCACGGGUGCGUAACGCGUGGGAACCUGCCCUUAGGUUCGGAAUAACUCCCCGAAAGGGGUGCUAGUACCGGAUAAUGUCUUCGGACCAAAGAUUUAUCGCCUUUGGAUGGGCCCGCGUUGGAUUAGCUAGUUGGUAGGGUAAAAGCCUACCAAGGCGACGAUCCAUAGCUGGUCUGAGAGGAUGAUCAGCCACACUGGGACUGAGACACGGCCCAGACUCCUACGGGAGGCAGCAGUGGGGAAUAUUGGACAAUGGGUGAAAGCCUGAUCCAGCAAUGCCGCGUGAGUGAUGAAGGCCUUAGGGUUGUAAAGCUCUUUUACCCGGGAUGAUAAUGACAGUACCGGGAGAAUAAGCUCCGGCUAACUCCGUG
rnacentral:rRNA from 1 species